CCUACGGGAGGCAGCAGUGGGGAAUUUUGGACAAUGGGGGCAACCCUGAUCCAGCCAUGCCGCGUGAGUGAAGAAGGCCUUCGGGUUGUAAAGCUCUUUCGGCCGGAACGAAAUCGCGCACGUGAAUAACGUGCGUGGAUGACGGUACCGGAGUAAGAAGCACCGGCUAACUACGUGCCAGCAGCCGCGGUAAUACGUAGGGUGCGAGCGUUAAUCGGAAUUACUGGGCGUAAAGCGUGCGCAGGCGGUUCGCUAAGUCAGACGUGAAAGCCCCGGGCUUAACCUGGGAACGGCGUUUGAAACUGGCGGGCUCGAGUACGGCAGAGGGGGGUGGAAUUCCACGUGUAGCAGUGAAAUGCGUAGAUAUGUGGAGGAACACCGAUGGCGAAGGCAGCCCCCUGGGCCGAUACUGACGCUCAUGCACGAAAGCGUGGGGAGCAAACAGGAUUAGAUACCCUGGUAGUCCACGCCCUAAACUAUGUCAACUAGUUGUCGGGGAAGCAAUUCCUUGGUAACGCAGCUAACGCGUGAAGUUGACCGCCUGGGGAGUCGGUGCAAGNUUAAACNCAAAGGAUUGACGGCUGAGAGUGCGAGGCGACGACGAGGAGAGG
rnacentral:rRNA from 1 species